UGUGGUACCAGUAUAUUCAGGUAAACCAUUGGUGUGCACAUGGUAUAUUGUACAGUGAGUUUUACUGUACUUCAAUGAUGCCUGUAUAUAUUUCUUGAAGUUGUAAAUACCCAUAAGAACAGAAAACAUUUAUACUUUACUAAACUGUGUAAUUCUAGAAUAGGCUAUGUGAAACAAACCUUCUAUUUUGUUGCUAUAUAGAGAAUAAUGGAGCUGGAAGGACAUGAAAUGACCCACAUUCUUGUUUUUGUGGACUCGGCUGGGUUCAAUCUGGCCAAAGGCAGGAGGCGUGGAUACAAUCUCAUUGGACACCGAGUCACAAUUGCCACAACAGGCCAACGUGGGGGCAACAUUACAAUGUGUGCUGCCAUUUCUGAGAAUGGUGUGAGCACACAUAUUCCACACAUUGGGCCCUAUAACACCCAACUUCUCCUGGCCUUCCUAAAUACACUUUACAGAGACCUAAUACCAGAACACCAAAGAGGUUUAGUUAGACCAGAUUUGCCAUAUUAUGUAAUUGUGUGGGAUAAUGGUCGGCUUCCACCGAACCAACAUUGUUAGGAAAUGGUUUGCUGCACAUGAAAGGAUAACAAUGGAGUUCCUUCCCACCAUCCUCCCCUUUCCUGAAUCCGAAAGAAGAGUUUUGUUCAGCAUGGAGGUGGAAAGUAUAUGACUAUCAGGCACAAGAUCAGAUGUCUCUGUUAGAUGCCGUGAAUGCCGUUUGUGAGGACAUCACAGGCGAUCAUUGCAGGGGAUGGUUGAGCCACGCAAGGAGAUUUUCCCCCCGGUGCAUCACAAGGGAAAACAUCAGAUGUGAUGUUGACGAAAGUCUCCGGCCAGACCAACAAGAGCAACAGGAUGUCCACCAAGAAGAUGGGAACUUGUAGUGUUACGUACUGUGAGGAGUUCCUGCUAGGUAUGAUAGGCUCCACUGACGAGGUCCUUCUGGAGGCAGCCGCUGUCUGUGUGGCUAACAUCCGCCGUCUUUGCCCUGGCCAAUAAGAAGGCACGAUGCGGUUAACCAAUCACAACCACAACGACCUCCCCAGCAGCUACUGUGUCCUCAUCAUCACCUCUUAUUGCUGAUUGGAUGUCAUGGGUCCAGAUGUACUCCAGUAGCCUUCCAUCCGCAGAGACUUUUCUCACUAUGCCUCUAUCCUUUCCGCCCAUCCCACAGAAUAUAGGUGUGAUUCAAAUCAAAUAUGAUGAGUGGUGCAUGUGUAUUUAUGUCCCUUCUUCCUUCUGCCUCCAUCUGUCAUAGUGGGAAGCUUUUAGUCCAUGCUACCCAUGAAUUUAAAUGAUUAUUUCAUUUGGGGGUCAAGCAAACAUAUAGGACCUACAAACAUGUGUGCCCAUGCCAGAUGCCCCAUCCCUGUACCUGAGAGUGAAGAGGUUUAGAGCAUGUAUUGUUCAGUCACAUUCCUUACGUAAUAAACAUGAGACACUGAUAUCUAAACAAGACCACAUCUGGUUGUGUUACUCACUUCAACACAUGCACCUUAAAACUGAAAAUAUGUCUGUGAAUCACAGGGAACACAAACACAGACACAACCUUCAAUGAUUCAUUGAGAGAUAUUGGGAACAUAAUAAUGCAUUGUUGGGUCGGUAUAUAUUAGGUUUGCUUAUUUGCUCAACAGUCUGUCUGUCUGUAUACAAAAUCAAGAAGAUAUUCUCGUAAAUGUUGAAUGAUACUCAUAAAUUCAAUCAACAUUGACGUAAACGGGCAGAAUACGGCGAUAACAUCUCAGAAUAUAAUAGAAGGUCCCUCCUGCACUACAAAUAUGAGUAAAUAUGAAUCUUAACAUGUAAUUGGUAUGAGCAGUUUCCCUAUUAAUCACAAUUACCUAAUGUAUUAUCUGUUGCAUUAUGGGUAGACAUGGCCAUUAUAAGUAAUUGGGAAAAUGUAUAUUUGAAAUGUCCUCAUUAUUUUUGCCUGUAAAAAAAGUAUUUGUGGGCACUGGGACCACCUUAGAACCAAAAAACUAGUGUGGCAUCUGCUCAACAAUACCCAUUAAACGACUCAUACGUGACCAGAAUCUUUCUAAGAUCCAAUAACUAUUGCUGCCUAUUUAUACAAAUAAUGACAUGAAUAAAAAAGAGAGAAUGUAUUGCUUUUUUAUUGAAUAGAAAACAAAACAUAACAAACGUGAAGGGAUUCAAUAAGAAGAAUGAAUUGCUGCUUAUGCUCAGACAUCCCUACUUGUGUGGUAGGAAACUUGAUGAGUGAGUAUGUUCUCCUCCUCCUCUGUCUUGUGUCCAGUGUCCUUAGUCAAAACAGGCCAUGUUAGUUUCCAUUGUUUUACAAUAGGCUGCAUUCAGGCAGGCUAUGGCUGCUCCACCUCUCCUCUGGUCUGGCUGCUCCAGUGUCCUGGUCCUAAUUAGCCUCCCAGGCUUACUGUAGCACUGAGCCACCGAGCCACUGGAGGCAUCCCAAAUGGCACCCUAUUUCCUAUAUCGUGCACACGGCUCUGGUCAAAAGUAGUGCACUACACAGGGAAUAGGGUUCCAUUUGGGACACACCCACUGAGACUACUGACUCCUCCUGACUCCCAUAAAACAUUUCAAGGGACUUUCAUCAUUAAUAAUAUCAGCCUGGCUGAGCUAAUAUUGAAAAUUAGCAAAACAUCAAAAAUAUGUGGUCGAGAAAUCUUCAUCACUCUUGUGAUGUUUUAAACAGUACCAGCUGUCACCGGGGGUUACUGUGGGAGCACGGAGACAGAGAGGAGAGAGUGAACUUUAACUUGAUUACUCUGAAGAGAGAGCUCCUUCCAAAAAUCUGAAUGAGGAGCUGGAGCUGGGCUGAGGAAGGCCAUUGUAUCGAAAUGAUUCAAAACAAAUAAAUUCCCCAGUGAUUAAUGGCACUUUCAUUGCUCAUGCAGAUGCACUUUACGACCUUUCAAAAAACAUGCCAUAUCCGAAAACAGAUUUUUAGGAAACGUUUAAAUGAGAAGCAUUUGGUAACCUAAACAAGCAGAUGCUUGAGCAAGCCCCUCAUGUUGUGUUCUGUCUCUCUGUUUCUCUGUAUUUCUCUCUCUCUCUCUCUCUCUCUCUGCCUCUUUCUCUCUCUGUUUCGCUCUCUCUGUUAAGUGUUUAAAUUUGGAGGUUGCUGACUGGAAGGAUAUGCAUAACUAACAUCAUUAAACAAAUGUUGCAUGUUCUGCUGAAGGAAAGGAAUUUAUGAGAUGUACAACUCCACUACAUGUUUUAGCCAUUGGAGAGGAGGGGCAGAUGCACUGCUGCCUGGGAGUUCAAGGGGCAUAGCAUUAUCCACAGUGCUUAAAAAUAAAAUAUAUAUAUUCCUCUUGUUCACGAUGUCUUCCCAAUGUAUGCUGCUCAGUCAAGGUGACUAAUUAACCAAUUGAAAGCAUCCUCCUUGUUAUCUUCAAUAAAUAAUGUGUUUCUUGUCUUGA
ensembl:lncRNA